rnacentral:rRNA from 1 species
GACGGAGGAUGCAAGCGUUAUCCGGAAUGAUUGGGCGUAAAGCGUCCGCAGGUGGCAGUUCAAGUCUGCUGUCAAAGACCGGGGCUUAACUUCGGAAAGGCAGUGGAAACUGAACAGCUAGAGUAUGGUAGGGGUAGAGGGAAUUCCCGGUGUAGCGGUGAAAUGCGUAGAGAUCGGGAAGAACAUCGGUGGCGAAAGCGCUCUACUGGACCGCAACUGACACUCAGGGACGAAAGCUAGGGGAGCGAAUGGG